rnacentral:rRNA from 1 species
GUAUAAGAGACAGCAGCCGCCGCGGGAAAACAGAGGGUGCGAGCGUUAAUCGGAUUUACUGGGCGUAAAGCGUGCGUAGGCGGCUUUUUAAGUCGGAUGUGAAAUCCCUGAGCUUAACUUAGGAAUUGCAUUCGAUACUGGGAAGCUAGAGUAUGGGAGAGGAUGGUAGAAUUCCAGGUGUAGCGGUGAAAUGCGUAGAGAUCUGGAGGAAUACCGAUGGCGAAGGCAGCCAUCUGGCCUAAUACUGACGCUGAGGUACGAAAGCAUGGGGAGCAAACAGGAUUAGAUACCCCCGUAGUCCCUGUCUCUUAUAC